GCCCCACCGUCGAGCCGAUAUGGUUCAGAGACGCCAUCCCCGCUCCACCGAGGAUCCCUCGGCAACCUCCCACGAUAACGUUCGACUGCGUGCCGUCCCUGUUCGACUUCCCGCAGCUCACCAUCAACAACAUCAAAGAGGAGUUCAUGAGAGAGACGGCUUACAGGUGCACGACCUUCGAAGCGGUCGCCGCGGUUCUGUGGCAGUGCCGGACCCGAGCGAUCAAUCUGCAUCCCCAAGCCGACGUCCACCUCGUCUUUUCCGCAAACGUUCGUCCGCUCCUGCGCCAGCUG
rnacentral:lncRNA from 1 species